AUUGAACGCUGGCGGCAGGCCUAACACAUGCAAGUCGAACGGUAACAGGAAGAAGCUUGCUUCUUUGCUGACGAGUGGCGGACGGGUGAGUAAUGUCUGGGAAACUGCCUGAUGGAGGGGGAUAACUACUGGAAACGGUAGCUAAUACCGCAUAAUGUCGCAAGACCACAGAGGGGGACCUUCGGGCCUCUUGCCAUCGGAUGUGCCCAGAUGGGAUUAGCUAGUAGGUGGGGUAACGGCUCACCUAGGCGACGAUCCCUAGCUGGUCUGAGAGGAUGACCAGCCAGACUGGAACUGAGACACGGUCCAGACUCCUAGGGGAAGAAGCAGUGGGGAAUAUUGCACGAUGGGCGAAAGCCUGAUGCAGCUAUGCCGCGUGUAUGAAGAAGGCCUUCGGGUUGUAAAGUACUUUCAGCGGGGAGGAAGGGAGUAAAGUUAAUACCUUUACUCAUUGACGUUACCCGCAGAAGAAGCACCGGCUAACUCCGUG
rnacentral:rRNA from 1 species